rnacentral:piRNA from 1 species
UCAGGGUGUGCGUGCUCUGUGGAACUC